AUGGCCAGUACCCACCUUAUGUUUCUUCUAUCCCUGCCAUGGCUGCUCCACGAAAUGCCACCGCGGCAAGCUGCGCCCGCGGCCGCGGUGUCCAAGGGUGCUGGAGACGGCGCCGCAACUCCCAACGUUGACCACGCCGACGUGUGCUGCAACCAUGGUGGCAAAACGCUGGAAUCAUGGCGGAGGAUACUUGAACUGGCCGAACCUAGUGCUCCGACGAGGCGGCGAUUUUUUGGAGUGACGAAGUUUUUGCUAGAACCAGUCAUCAGCGGUGCUACAACCAGCCACGCCCUCUCGCUGCGGAUGGUUUUCUGCUGGAACUAG
rnacentral:rRNA from 1 species